ACGCUUGAAGUCAGUCGCGCCGUUCGGGAUUCAGCCUUGCUUCUGCUCGGUUUACUUCCCGUUGGGUGGGUCAACAUCAGUUUCGGUCGGAGGAGAAAGGCUCGGGGAAGGUGGCAGCAUUCGUGCUGUGUUAUAGCCCCUUGUUGUAUACUUCGACUGGGACUGAGGACCGCAGCACGCCUUUGGCCGGGGUUCGCCCACGUACGUGCUUAGGAUGUUGGCAUAAUGGCUUUAAGCGACCCGUCUUGAAACACGGACCAAGGAGUC
rnacentral:rRNA from 1 species